CAGUCGCCACGGGAAUACGGAGGGUGCGAGCGUUAAUCGGAAUUACUGGGCGUAAAGCGUACGCAGGCGGUUUGUUAAGUCAGAUGUGAAAUCCCCGAGCUUAACUCGUGAACUGCAUUUGAAACUGGCAGGCUAGAGUCUCGUAGAGGGGGGUAGAGUUCCAGGUGUAGCGGUGAAAUGCGUAGAGAUCUGGAGGAAUACCGGUGGCGAAGGCGGCCCCCUGGACGAAGACUGACGCUCAGGUACGAAAGCGUGGGGAGCAAACGGGAUUAGAUACCCCAGUAGUCCCUGUCUCUUAUAC
rnacentral:rRNA from 1 species